rnacentral:lncRNA from 1 species
AUUGAGGAGGGAAAGCCUAUAAAAACGUGAGCCCUAUGAUUAGCUGGAAAACAGGGAAAUAGAGGCUGGUGAGUUCUUGACGGAUCCAGUGGUCCGGAACCUCGUCCCCUCGGAGGCUGAGAACAAUAGGCUCCGAACCCCGCCCGGCAUCGCAGCAUCUAAGGCGGAGGAUGCGCAGGGCCCGUCGUCUGCGGGAAGCGCAAAGAGCCGCACUCGGGAAGCCCAUUAGCGAAAUAAUAGGUUUUGAUCCCACUGUUUUGAAAAGUUGGACAUCAAUGGACUGGCUCUUGGAACAAUCCAGAAGGAAUAAAAGGACUCAAAAAUAGCCAGUGGGGAUGGAGAAGUCCAACCCUAGCCAACUACCCCUGAGUAAGAGUUAAAAAAAAAUAAUAAAGUAACUGUUUAAGUGGACA